UAUAGUAAGUUCCUUUUAUUUAAAAUGUGGCCAUGAACGCGUUGUGUGGUGUACAACAACCAAUAUAAAUACCUCUUCUCAUCUAUAUAUCUUGUGCAUUUGAAGUUGUAUCCAAAGACAUAAUUAGUUAACCCUAGCAGAAUUUGGUUUUGAUUUGCCAAAAGUCCUGUGUAAUAACAUCAUGAGCUCCAGGAGCGUCAAUAUUCAAGAGGUUCUUCUUCCCACUAAGCCUCCACCUAAUGGAAGUAGCUCAACUUCUUCAAGCUCCAGUGGUAAGAUGGGUCCAACUGCAAAGGGGAUUUUUUAUCCCAAGAACAGAUGAUCUCUCGUAAAAGGUAUACGUAUAUUGAAGGGACCAAUAUUUGAAGCAUAUAUAUGCGAAUGGGAAUGUAAUUGAAGCAUGUUGCUAACUAGUUUACCAUGAUCUAAUUAGGCUAUUUAAUUAAUUUGUUUGUUUGUAUGUUACCCUAGAGUUCCCGUGUGUUGUCUUCCAAUAAUGGGAUAUUAGUAUUUAGUAAUAUAAAGAUCGAAAUGUCUUUUUUUUUUCUUUUUCUUAACAAGAGUUUCUAUUUAUUAGCCAGUACUUUGUGGUCAUAUUUAAUAUCUAUAUAUCAAAGGCUUAUGAAUUUCACGGGUCAA